CCUACGGGAGGCAGCAGUGGGGAAUAUUGGGCAAUGGGCGCAAGCCUGACCCAGCAACGCCGCGUGAAGGAAGAAGGCCCUCGGGUUGUAAACUUCUUUUAUUCGGGACGAAACAAAUGACGGUACCGACUGAAUAAGCCACGGCUAACUACGUGCCAGCAGCCGCGGGAAUACGUAGGUGGCAAGAGUUAUCCGGAUUUACUGGGUGUAAAGGGCGUGUAGGCGGGAGAGCAAGUCAGACGUGAAAUUCCAGGGCUCAACCCUGGAACUGCGUUUGAAACUGUUCUUCUUGAGUGAUGGAGAGGCAGGCGGAAUGCCGUGUGUAGCGGUGAAAUGCGUAGAUAUACGGAGGAACACCAGUGGCGAAGGCGGCCUGCUGGACAUUAACUGACGCUGAGGCGCGAAAGCGUGGGGAGCAAACAGGAUUAGAUACCCGAGUAGUC
rnacentral:rRNA from 1 species